rnacentral:rRNA from 1 species
UACGUAGGGCGCAAGCGUUUAUCCGGAAUUAUUGGGCGUAAAGAGCUCGUAGGCGGUUUGUCGCGUCUGCCGUGAAAACCCGAGGCUUAACCUCGUGGCUUGCGGUGGAUACGGGCAGACUAGAGGUAGGUAGGGGAGAAUGGAAUUCCCGGUGUAGCUGGUGAAAUGCGCAGAUAUCGGGAGGAACACCGGUGGCGAAGGCGGUUCUCUGGGCCUUACCUGACGCUGAGGAGCGAAAGCGUGGGG